UUAUUAACGUGAGGAUAUCUGGGGGAAGGGCACUCCAGGCAGUGGGAUCAGCCAGUGCCAAGUUCAGAGGCAGAGCUGGACUUGAGCAAAGGGGACAAAAGUGGCAAAUGUAGUCAGAGAGGCCAAAGGUUGCAGGGAAUCUGUAGGGCACUGUAGGACCGUUUGGUUUUUACCCCGGGAUAAGAUGGAGGAAGGGGCCCAAUCCAAUUUAUGUUCCGAUAGGCUUGCUCAGGCCGCAGGGCUCAGAAUAGACCAUGUGGGGACAGCGGGAGAGAGGGGCAGCCGGGGAGCAUCUGAGAAGCUGUCGCACAAGUGAGCAUGGCCUAGACCAAGGUGGCCAUGGUGGGAAGGGGGGAAAAAACAGCAGCUGGAUUCCAGAUGCGCUUUGAAGGUAGAGAUGGCAGGCUUUCCGGAUGGGGUUUGGGUAUGAGGUAUGAGAAGAAAAAAAGAAGAAUUAGCCUGUCUUGCAGUACUUGAACCCACAGAGGCCCAUGUUACCUGCUUAGACUAAAUAAUACCAAUUUCUAAGACCCGUUCUACACCCCCGCCCCCAAAGACUUGGGAUAUUGCCGGAUUUAAGUUACAGGCUAAGAUGCACUUCCAAAGAAGACCCUGGAAUAUUUGUGGUCUUUAAAUGCAGAAUGAAUUUUCAUUCAUUUGUUCCUGGCCCCGGCGGGGGAGCAUAGAACAGCCACACAAGGUCAGCUCUCUCGCCGCUGUCCGCCUCACGACAGCCCAGUAGUGAAGAGGCUGCAAACUCCCUGGGGCUCAGUUUUCUCAUCCAGUGAAAAAUAGGUUCAUGCUUCUAAAACACUUAGCACAGGGCCGACGCCUUAGAAAGCGCUUCAUUGCCGGUGGAGACAAUGAACUACGCCCCCCUGAUGAUGCACUUUGAACGCACGGUGUUGAAAUUCCGACAGUGACCAGCAGAGGGCGCCAUGAGCAGAAGCCGGCAGCGCUGCGCUGCGCAGCUGGGAAGACUGGCUCAGCUGUCUGGGAUCUACCAACUGCUACAGCUUCACAAACAGACGGCCUGCUGGGCACAAGGGAUCUUCUAUUUUGAGGUCAUCCCUGCUCCAAACAGCCCAAAGCCCUGGCAUCCCAGGUGCAUAAUGUGGCCAUUCUCCAGCACGCGUCAGCUCUUAACUCCUCCCAGAGCCCUGCAGGAGACCCCGAGACCCGGACCCCUUCCUGUGCCCGGGGCUCUAGAGGACGGAGACUAGCAAAGAUAAGGAAUUCAUUUUCGCUUCAAGAAAGAGGAACACUGUGGCCAGAUAAGAAACCCCAUCUGUCUUCAAGAAAAAGGGUCGUGGAUUUUGGGUGUCACGAAUCCUGUAAUAUCUUAAAUUAAGGUGCCACUUCUGAACGCGUUCUUCGUGUUUAUGAAAUGAUUAUUCCACAGAGGUGCAUUUAAUAUUGUUAAAAUAAUGACGGUGCAUGUUUAAUACAUCAAUUUAAGUUAUUAUCUCCCAUGCUAUAAAAUGCGGGAUAAUUUCAUAAAUAAUUAUAAAGCAUUUACAAAUGGCGCCUUAAUGCAAAGCAUUCUCGCUAAUCCUUUAUCUUUCACGAACACAGAAAUAACAAUUAGAUUCCUGGAAUGAAAAAGGGAGGUUAUGUUCUAGAAUGUGUCAUCUCCUUACUGAAUGCAAAUAAGGAGGAGGGAGGGAGGGAGGGAGGGAGGGAAGAAGGAAGGAAGGAAGGAAGGAAGGAAGGAAGGAAGGA